GAACGCUGGCUUAAAUGCUUUAAAAGUGAUGAUUUCGAUGUGAAAGACAAAGAACGUCCAGGUCAACCGGAAAAAUUUGAAGACUAACAAUUACAAGUAUUAUAGGAUGAAGAUGCAUGUCAAACUCAAAAACAACUUGCAGAAAGAUUAAACGUUGCUCAGCAAACAAUUUCCGAUCGUUUACAAGCAAUGGGAAAGAUUUUAAGGGAAAGAAGUGGGUGCCACAUCAGCUGAACGAAAGACAAAUGAAAACCUAAA